rnacentral:rRNA from 1 species
GUGCCAGCAGCCGCGGUAAGACAGAGGGUGCGAACGUUGCUCGGAAUUACUGGGCGUAAAGCGCGUGUAGGCGGACCGACAAGUCAUGUGUGAAAUCCCCGGGCUCAACCCGGGAACUGCACGUGAAACUGUCGGCCUUGAGUGCCGGAGAGGGUGGCGGAAUUCCUGGUGUAGAGGUGAAAUUCGUAGAUAUCAGGAGGAACACCGGUGGCGAAGGCGGCCACCUGGACGGCUACUGACGCUGAGACGCGAAAGCGUGGGGAGCAAACAGGAUUAGAUACCCCCGUAGUCC